rnacentral:sRNA from 1 species
CCCCGCCCCGCGCCCGCGCUCACCCGCCCGUCUCCCCGCAGCUGGACAGCGCCAAGCUGAGCUCUGACCAGAACGACAAGGCGGCCAGUGCGGCUCGCGAGGAGCUGAAGGAGGCCCGCAUGCGCCUGGAGUCCCUCAGCUACCAGCUCUCCGGCCUCCAGAAGCAGGCCAGUGCCGCUGAAGAUCGCAUUCGGGAGCUGGAGGAGGCCAUGGCCGGGGAGCGGGACAAGUUCCGGAAGAUGCUGGACGCCAAGGAGCAGGAGAUGACGGAGAUGCGGGACGUGAUGCAGCAGCAGCUGGCCGAGUACCAGGAGCUGCUGGACGUGAAGCUGGCCCUGGACAUGGAGAUCAACGCCUACCGGAAGCUCCUGGAGGGCGAGGAGGAGAGGCUGAAGCUGUCCCCCAGCCCAUCCUCGCGCGUCACCGUCUCACGAGCCACCUCGAGCAGCAGCGGCAGCAUGUCCGCCACCGGGCGCCUGGGCCGCAGUAAGCGGAAGCGGCUGGAGGUGGAGGAGCCCUUGGGCAGCGGCCCAAGCGUCCUGGGCACGGGCACGGGUGGCAGCGGUGGCUUCCACCUGGCCCAGCAGGCCUCGGCCUCGGGCAGCGUCAGCAUCGAGGAGAUCGACCUGGAGGGCAAGUUUGUGCAGCUCAAGAACAACUCGGACAAGGAUCAGUCUCUGGGGA